rfam:Sphaerobolus stellatus SS14 unplaced genomic scaffold SPHSTscaffold_9, whole genome shotgun sequence.
GCUUCGCUGGCGCAGUUGGUAGCGCAUUCGCUUCACAUUCAUGUUCGCGAGAGGUCGUCGGUUCGAGCCCGGCGUGGAGCA